UUAAUAUUUUUAAAAAUAGUUCAAAAGCUGUCAAAAUAAAAUGGUGAAUUGAGUUUAAACCAGAAAAGAUAUAAACGUAAUUUUUGGGAUUCAACUUGUAAGGAUGUUCCAAGAACCACUUAGUUGGAAAAGGAAAACUGUGCCGUUCAUUAACAAGUCCUGUGCUUUAUAAUAUAUUAAAAAAUGGAAGGACGUGAAGAAAACAGGUUUGUAAAUGAUGUUGUACAUCAUGCAGAUAGCUCAGAAGAAGAAGCAGGAAUGUUUGACUGGAAAUAUAAACGAUGUUGUACAUAAUGCAGAUAGCUCAGGCAAAAAAGAGAUUGGUAAAAUGGAGAAUGAGACUAACUAGGGUGAAAAAAAUGAAUAUUAAUAUGUGAAUGGUACUUUGUUUAACAUCUACCUGUUUAUACAGAUACAGUACAGAC
rnacentral:lncRNA from 1 species